rnacentral:rRNA from 1 species
UACGAAGGGGGCUAGCGUUGCUCGGAUUGACUGGGCGUAAAGGGCGCGUAGGCGGUUCGUACAGUCAGACGUGAAAUUCCUGGGCUCAACCUGGGAACGGCGCUUGGGACGGCGAGGCUGGAGUUCGGGAGAGGAGAGUGGAAUUCCCAGUGUAGAGGUGAAAUUCGUAGAUAUUGGGAAGAACACCGGUGGCGAAGGCGGCUCUCUGGACCGACACUGACGCUGAGGCGCGAAAGCGUGGGGAGCAAACAGG